ensembl:lncRNA
CCUGCAGGAGCCUUUUCUGUCUUUCCCUACUGCCGAAGCGGUCUGCUCCCUCAGGAGCCUUUUUUCUGUAUUUCUCCACAGCCCCAGCAGCGUCUGCUCCCGCAGGAGCCUUUAUUUCCCUCUCCCACUGCCGCAGCAGUGUCUGCUCUCGCAGGAGCCUUUAUUUUCUUCUCCCACUGCCGCAGCAGUGCCUGCUCCCGCAGGAGCCUUUAUUUCCCUCUCCCACUGCCGCAGCAGUGUAUGCGCCCACAGGAGCCUUUUACUGUAUUUCCUCACUGCCGCAGUAUUGUCUGCCCCCGCAGGAGCCUUUAUAUCCCUAUCCCCCUGCCGCACCAGUGUAUGCUCCCGCAGGAGCCUUUUUUUCUGUUUUUCCUCACUGCCGCAGCAGUGUCUGCUCCCGCAGGAGCCUUUUUUCUGUAUUUCCUCACUGCCGCAGUAUUGUCUGCUCCCGCAGGAGCCUUUUCUGUAUUUCCCUACUGCCGCAGCAGUGGCCACUCCUGCAGGAGCCUUUUCUGUCUUUCCCUACUGCCGAAGCAGUCUGCUCCCUCAGGAGCCUUUUCUAUCUUCUCUACUGCUGCAAUAUUCGCGUCCCCAGCAGGAGCCGUUAUCUCUCUCUUCCAAGUGGACGCUUCCACGGAAAUCAAAUUCUCUUCCUAGAUACUGCCGCAACAAUUGUAUACCAAAGGACGUCCAGCACCCCUCUAACAUUAAGCCUGGCUUUUUGGGGGGUCGUAAAUGUGCGUAUCUGGCUGCAGUCCUGUUCUAAUUGCUUUUUGGAGAACGCUUUGGGCCGGGCCGGACACCGAGCUCGGGAGUCUUGCCGGGCUCGGAGCUCUCUCCCUGGACAACACUUCAAAAUACACAUAACCUUUAUUUUAUUAUAAGUAAGUGUGAACUCUUGAAACUCUUGGCCUGCAGCCCCACAGUCUAACCCCAGUGUGAGGCUGCCUCCGCUAAUGGCGCAGGCCCUGAUGCCUGCCAUUCCCCCUCUCUUUCCCCCUCUUUCUUCCACUCCCGGAGCCGUCCCAAGCAUGAGCGUGCCUCCGCAAGCAUGAGCAUGCGUGAUACAAGACACUCUUAAACUUGAAGGUUCUUUAUUGGCAUCUGUGGAACCUUUCCAUUCCAUAAAAGUCUCUUUAUUGUGGAGAACGUUUGUUUAGAUUAUUGAAAUGUUUUUCACACUGAAAAGUUCUGAAUGCCAAACCAAAAUUCUUCUAUGACUUUACUGUAACCCCCCCCUUUUGAAUCCUUUAUAUCUAAGAGUGUAAAUGAAGGUAAAGCUCUUGUGCGUAUAAACACAUUACAGCACACUCCUCAAACAGCAGAUUUCAGAGACAUGUGUGCUGUCAUUUUCAGGCAGAGCAGUUGUAUUCCUCUCUGAGCUCUGCAGUCACAUCUCGCAGCAGCCACAAGAGCAAAAACAUGCAAUCAUACACUUCUAUUAAUACCUUUCAAUUACAUGCCUUUUAUUUCUGUGCAUUAGCAAGCCAGACUGCGGCCUGCAGAAAGCUGACCUUUAAGAAAAUUUAAGUAAUUUUCCUCUUCACUGAUACCCUUCAACGACAUAAAGAGCUUUUGUAAUCAAUGCUUUUCAUUUCAGUUGCACAGGCUUCCUUUGGCUCAUUAUCUCAAACAGACGACAGCAGAAUGUAAUAUAUAUUUUUUUAUAUAAUAAUAUUUUCAUGUAAUAUUAAAGUAACAGAAGAUAGAAGAACUGCUCGUCUAAAUCAGUCUGAGGUAUUCUGAUCCUCUAUUCAUGCAAUUUUAUGAUUAUCAGUAAUUC